GGUUCCACAGUGUAGUGGUUAGCACAUCUGCUUUACACGCAGAAGGUCCUGGGUUUGCGCCUCAGCGGAGUCA
rnacentral:tRNA from 1 species